UCAUCCUUUGUCAUCAAUUAUCUGAGACAGAUUCUGAAACUGAGCAGUUGCCCAGAGACUGCCGUUACAUCAACUCCAAGAUGCACAUGAGAUGGAAAUAGAGACGGAAUGGGAGCAUAUACCACACUUUACCCACCAGAGAUGCAACACAUUUUCCUAGUUGAAAUUUACAUAGUUCUUUAUUCAUGAAAUUAUAAACAGCUGCUAUUUUGCUGCAUUCUCAAGAAGAUUUGAAAAGGCAGCAAAGAAGAGAACAGACACGUUAGGCAAACUCCAUCUGCCCCUCGUGUCUAACACUUUUUUCCCUGCAGAUAGCAGACAAUGGGGUUACCAGAUGUCAUAGCCUGCUUGGGAAGGACCCAGGAAUUUUGUGUGACCGUCGGCCAGCCAGCACAGGCGAUGCCUCUUUUUCUCUCUGAAAAUUAUAAGUGGGCCCACUCCCGUCCGCUUCCCAAUGGCUGUUCUAAGACACCAGCUCUUCCCAAAGGAAUGCUGACAGUGGAGGAUUCGGGGGGAACUUCAGAAAUGUCACUCCAGUCCAGACCAACGUCCUCUCGCCCUGGCUGCCUCCUGACUUUUGAAGCAGGCUUUACAAUUGUUUUGAUUGUUAAAGAGAUGGAGCACAGGCAACCGGUUCACUAUGAGGGGCCACUUUCUGGUGGGGAGUCAGCAGGCACCCAGCUGGCACCCGUCGUGCAAGGAAGAGGGUGGGAUCCACUUCCAGAGGUAGGCUUUCGAGCAGGACACCACCAGGGAGAAGCCACACCGGAGCCUGUUCUUCCUCGGUCACCCCCAGAUGUUGCAGCCCAGGAGCAGCUGGGCGGGGCCUUGAUGCCAGGAGCGUCUGCGUGUCCUGAGCCCUCUUCCUUCCUCCAGGAGGUCCCGUUUCUGCUGCGGCCCACUGAUCUCAGUGGCUCCACGGGGCUGCCCCAGUGACAGUCUCUCCCCAGCAGGAGCUGGAGAUCCUACCCCUUGGAUGGGAACAAAAUUAGGGAACAGUUGAAUUAAAGUUCAUUCUUACUAUCCCGUAGGCAUAUCUACGUAUGUGUACAUAUAGAAAGAUAUGUAUAUGCAUAUAUGCGUACAUGUGUAUAUAUGCAUAUAUAUGUAACGCUUAUGUACACACACAUAUACACACCAAAUGUUAACUGGGGCUGCUUCUGGGUCAUGGAAUGACCUGUGACUUUUAUUUCUAUCUUUAUGCAUUCCGGAAUUUCUAAAUUUCCUAUAAUGAACACGUAAUAGAAAAAUUAUGAACAAAACCGGCUCUCCGGCCAUCAGGGGCGGUUGUGCUGCAUGCCUUUCUUGGGCCUGAAGAGCUGGCCCCCGGGCUCAGCCUGUCUGGUCCGGUCUGGCGGCAGGUGGGCAGCUGGGGCUGAGGACGGGGUGUGGGGGUGUUGGGGAGAUGUUCAUUCACAGGAAGGACCCAGGAGCUUCCUGGAGCUUCUGGAGCAUAGCUGCUGUUGUCUUCAAGACGCCUGACUCCUCGAAUUAGCUGCACCUCAUCUUCUAGCUCCCUGCUCACCCCAGCCGGGGGGCGAGAAGGAGUUAAGAUUCGUAUAUAUAUUCAAUCAAGCAACAAGCCCUCCCCUUUGCCAGCUCAGGGGUGCAACCCGUGCUCUUCGUCCACGUCUCGUGGUGGUCAGCUGUCCUGUUUCUGCUCCUUUUGCACUGGCUGGAUGCUGGCAGUUGGGGGUGGUGAGGGGUGGGCGGUGUGGAUGUUCACAGCCCUGGGAGACCGGCUGGGGCCCCUCACCCUCUCUGACAGCUUGGAGUCCCGGCCUGUGGGCUGCUGGAGUCCCUUUGUGCCCAUCAGACUCCCGGAGUGGGCGGGGGGGAGGGGCGGGUCAGGAUUCCUCCCACACACCCUGGUUCCAGGCUCCAUUCAAGCAGUGUCGGGGGUGUCUGGAAGGUUCCGGCCACCGCUGCCACCCAAGCGUGACAACAGGGCAGGAACUUAAGCGGUCACUGCAUGGCCAGUCUGGCCUUUAGGUGGGUGUUUGUCAUUGAGUCAGUCAAUGACGGCGGGUGGCAUCAGAUGGUGACAGCAGUGCAGGAGGGCCUGGGAAACCGCUUGUCCGGUGGCUCAUUCCCCUAGAGGGUGUUUUGGACGUACGUGGGGACAUUUGAUGGUCAUCAGCAUGCUGGGAGGCACAUGGCGGCCGGGGUGCCCAGGACUCUGUAGUGUGCCCGGCAGCCGCUCCGUGGAGAACGGCCACUGGAUCCCACGCAAGUUGCAAACGUCCCACCAGACAUAGCUAUGGAUGAAAAACCUGUUGAAAACGCUCUGCACGUAGAACCAGACUUUGUUUUCCGUAUUAACAUGUGGUCUGUUUUUGCGCUGUUUUUAACACACACGGGUCUCCCAGGGCUGCAACCACAGCAAAAGAUGAGGGGACAGUGUCCUUCGUUUCGUGGCGGGAUUUUACCAAGAGCGCUCACCAUGUCAGACGAUCACGUCCCAAACGCGAGGCUGCUCGUGGCGUUUGAGUGGCCGACGCAAAAGCACGGCGUCAGCCUGUGCCUGGAAACGCCAUGUCGGUGGUCAAGGCGUGACUAUAUUGAUUUUUUAAAUUGCGUAUGUGGUAGGUUGUGUUAUGAACUUUAUUUCUGGAGAGAAAAGGAGACGUUGCAGAGUACUUGUUACGGGUUGGGGAUGCUGGGUGUGACAGACUGAGGAAGGCCGAGCCCUCCAUUUCAUAGAUGGGAAAACGAGUCCAGGAAGGCACAGGACCUGCCGGAUGUCGCACCAUGAACGCGCAGAACCAGGAUUCGAGCUCAGGCCUCCCGAUUGCUGUCCAGGCCCCUUCUGCCCACACAGUAGCCUUGGGCUGUGUUUCUCAGCCUCUUCUCUUGGGACAAGCUGCCAGCUAUCCUGUCCUGUCACUCUGGCCAGAGUCCCUCUGGACCAGGCUGGGCCCAGGUGACCUCCUGUGACCUCAUCUAGCCCAGAUACCAUUUUCUCCCUUUCUAGACUGUUUUUCCAAUCACUGAGUGAAUCUGAGGAAGACUGUCUAUUCUUUCGACGACAACCUUUCAACUCAAGUUAUGGUUUUAUAAAUAAUAUAUAUGGCAAGUCAGUGCUGGAGAAAGGAUGUUCAUUCCGCUCUGAAAUAUUUAUGGCCUGGAGUGUCUGCUUACUUGUCUUUGGAGUCACUUUUUAGCUGGGUGUGCCGGAGAGUGCCACAGCCCGGGGCAUCUCUGGAGGCAACAGCGCGGACAGCCCUUCCCACCUGUCCAUCCGGCGGCCGACAGGAGAGACGGCAGCUCUGCCCAGGGAGCGCUCCGGAGCCCAGAUCUCCUAAAUUAUCCCGGGGAAGGCUCUGCGCCAGUGACAAGACUUAGCACACUGCCUUCGAAACAGACGUUGCUUUCCAGCGCGCAGUUUGAGUAAUAACAGAUACUACAACAGGCUUUCUCGGAUAUGAUCUUUAAUCCUGGCGCUUGUCCUGGGAGGUGCGUGUUAUAACCCUCAUUUUACAGAUGGGGAAACUGAGGCUCAGAAAGGUUAAGGAAUUUCUCAAGGUCACAGCAGAACCAAGUAGGAGCCUGGAUUUUUACCCAGCCCGGCUGACCCCUCAUCUUCUCAUGUCCCAGCCUGGCCCGUCACUCAGCUGUGGCUGGGGGCCAGUGAGUGGAUUCCAGAUCAGUUUCUGUGGCUGUGUCUGCCCGUCUGUGCUGGUUUGAACGGCUGGGGCCUUGGAUCUGGGACUAACAAUCUGAGCUGAACAGCCGGGCUUGAGUCCCAGUCCUACGGUGAUGGAUGUGUUCUUGCGUGUGCUGAAGUGGGUCCAGGUGGGAGUCUGAACUGAAGAAUGGCAGCGCAGGAAGGACCCCAGGAGUCGUCUUGUCCGACUUCCCAUGUUACAGGUGGGAGAUGAAGCGCCUGACGGGGUAGGCACUUGCCCAAGGCCACAGAGGGAGUUGGAGCCCAUUGGUCGUGAUGACAGCUCCUGGAGUCCAGUCAUCUGGUCAACCUCGUCCCCCUCCCAGGGCCCCUUUUCUUACAGGAGAAAACUGAGACUCGCAGGCGUGGAUGGAUGUACAGCUGUGUGCUUCCUUGGUCCGGCUGUCACUCUACUAGCCAGUCAACUAAUUUUGAGACUGGGGUUGAGGAAAAAUUUCCCAGGCAUUUCUAAACCAGCUGGACCACGGAGUGGGCUGUAGUUAUUAGAAUAUAGAUAUUUCAUCCGUGAUUCAGACUGAGUAGUUCUUCACCUGGAAGGACAAUUUCCGAGAGGACAAAGGCACUUGUGUUCUGACAGUUGGUGACUCUGGGCACCCCGAGGGCAGGGCUGGUGCCGAGGCCUCGCUGGCAGGCGGCAGAGAUUGUGGAAUCAAUGCAAGACAACAUUUCUGAAAAAGCCCGGCUCAGUCCUGAGCCAGAGGGAGCUGUCGGGCGGGCACCCCCCUGCCCCUGCCCUGGGAAGCCCCACCUUGUGGUGGGUCAUCUCCAACAAUGGCCCUCACUCCAAGCCACGCCACCUGGUAUUCGUGCCUUGUGUAUCCGGCUCCCCUUGACAGUGGACUGGGCCUCUGUGCCCAAGAGAAGGUAGUGGACGUGACCGUGUGACUUCCAAGGCCAAGAAGACAUCUUUGUGGCUCCCAGCUGGCUCUCUGGGGGAAGCCAUCACCGUGUCAGAAGUCUGAUGGUGACGAGACAGCCACGUUGUGAGGAAGCCCAAGCGAGCCCCACGGAGGAGCCUGGUGGGGAGAGAGAGCUCUGGCCGGGCCCCGGCUGUUCCAGCCAUCCUAGUGGAGGCACCAGUCAUGUGACCGAAGAAACCAUCCUGGACCUCUAGCCCCCCUGAGCCUUCAGAUGACUCUAGCCCCCGCCCCCACAUAAUCCAUCUUCGUGAGCAACCCUAGGCCAGAGCCACCCACCCAGCUGCACCUGUCAGCUCUGUAGGACCACGAGAGGGAUAAUAAUAAAACAUUUCAAAGCCUUUGUGUUUGGCGGCGCCUUGUUACACAGCUGCUGAUGCCCCUGGGCCUGGCCCCCGCCUCCAGCAUCAGCCUUCUCACAAACAGGACACACGCCAGGCAGCCUCUCAGAGCCCAGGGAGCCAGCAUCUCCCCUACGAGGGCCUGUCCACCGCGGCUGAGGGCACGCAAGGUGGGGUGGAAGGCCAGGGCCUGUGGAAGGGGCCCGCUUUCCUCGCAGGUCCCUCUCAGACUUCACUUCUGCCUGCGGUUUCUGCCCAUCUCUCCAAAGUGAGGUCAGGAGGCCCCAGAUGUCCCUGGGUGGCCUCGAUGGGCAGGAGCAGGGCUGCCUCCAGGCCCGGGGCUGUGGAAGCAGUUAACCGGUAGAAACAAGAUGAGCAUAGAAAUUGAGUGUGGGUGUCAUGACGUUGCCAUGACAGCUAAGCUUUGAUCCAUAGGCGUGUCUCUUUGACCAGGAAACAGUUUGAGUAUUGUCAACUUGUGUGGUGUGUCACAUUUGACCUGAGCAGCACCCUGAUCGUGUGCAGAAGGACCACGUAUUGUCCAUGAUGGACAUCUAGUUUGAGAAGCAGAGUCUGAGCCUGUACUGUGCCGUUGUGUAUCCCCUCUGGGAGGAGCCAACCCCAGGGCAUACAUGCCAUUGGUGAGUGCGGUGUGGGCUGGAUCUCAUUCCCCAUGCUCACUCUCCCCACACCCCAGCUGGGUGCAUUUGUGCAGUGCACAGACUGCGCAACUGUCCCUGGUAGCUGAGAGUGGAGGCUUAUCCCUGCUAUCAGGACUUAAGCAGCCUAAAUCUGUCCUUCAUCUCUGAAGCUACGUCUUUGGAAGCUCAGGGCUUGCCUCACAAGAGAAAUCUGACUUCCUGUCUCUUAAGGAGAAGUGCUGAAGGAUUCUAGGACUUUGCUUGUCUUUUCCUAAAACAAGUGGGUGACAUUAGACUCCUGAAUCAGUGGCUUGAAUUUCACUUAAAUGCAUAAGACCUCAAAUAAUAAAUUCACUUAGGCUGGGAUUUUUUGAACUACCUGAGGCAGAGUCGGAAAGCUCAGUGGACCCCAAGUCCUAGCACUUCCGGAGGCCAGGGGCCAGCUGGCUUUGGCUGACUGGGAGGCGCCCCCAAGCCCGUCGCCCCUGCGGUUGUUUGGGGAAACGCCAGGUCUGGGGGCUCAGUCUCAGCAGCUCCCGAGCUUGGCCUUGUAGACGCGGUUGCACUGGGGUUGGUUAAGUCCGGGCACAGACUCUGCCCGGCCCACGGCCCCAGAGGAUAGCACAGCAGCCAGGGGCCCAGCUGGAGGGGGCCCUUGCCCUGGGGACCCUCGCUGUCAGGCCUGUGACUUACCAGGGUGGCCUGUCGGGAGGACCUGCCUCUGCCUCCCUUAUGGCUUUUGAUCCCUUUGGUGAGGAACUCGCUUUCUAAACUGUUUUUUACUUAAUUUAGUAUAAAAACACAUACUCAGAGGGACCAUUUAUUAAACCUCUGCUGUGACAGCGACUGUGUUUGGGUUUCUUCUGAUACAAGAAGGAGAGUGGGCGUGGUGGGCAGAACAAUGCCACCCCCAGCCCCUCAAAGACCUUUAUGUCCUAAUCUUAGACCUGUGACUUUGGCACCUGUGUGGCAGGGGAGGUUUGAGGCUGCAGACGGAAUUAAGGUCCCUAAUCAGCCGAUGUUAGUGAGAGGUGACUCUGCGUUAUCGGGGCCCAGUGUAGUCACAGGGCCCUUUAAGGCAGAAGAGGAGGUCAGAGGUGCAGAGAGAUUUGAAGAUGCUCCCCUGCUGGCUUUGCAGAUGGAAGGGGCCCGGGUCAAGGGACGUGGGUGGGCUGGGGCAGAAAGAAAUGCCCCCAGAAGGAACACGGCCCUGCAGUCCCCUUGAUUUUUAGCUGAGUGAGACCCAUUUCAGAUUUUUGACUCCAGAACUAUAAGAUAAUAGAUUUGUGCUAUUUUAAGCCACUAAAUUUGUGGGAACUUGUUACAGCAGUGAUGGAAGCUAAUCCAUUGGGUUCAGAGAGGUUCAGUAACUCGACCCAGGUGGUACAACACUGACAUCUCAUCCCAGAUCAGUCUGAUUCCCGUGUCCCUGCUCUUUCCCUCCGCUCCACACGGCCUCCUGCUGGCACUCUAGGUGGGAGGUGCUGGGAAUGGGGCGGAGAAACACAAACAGAGUGGAGAGGAAUCUGUGACCCUCUUGGCCGGGGGUGAACCUCCCGUUCAGGCCACAGUCUGAACAGAACCUUGCUCAGGUCUUCGGGGAGCUCACCCCUACACCUGAGGAGGGUUUGCUGCAGGCCAGGGGCAGAGACCAGGCCCCCCAGUGUGGAGGGAUCUAAUCCUGGGGCCCGGGUGUCUGUUGGAGAGAAGCUGCCUCUGGAGCGUCAGAGGGGUGCAGGUGCGGCUCCCCACUGCAGCCCCUGGGGAAGGUGCUGCCGUUCUCUGAGCUCAGCUUCCUCGUGAAUAAAAAUAAAAAGGGGGUGACGAUGCCCCUUUACGGGCGGGCCCUGGGGGGAACCCCGCUGGCCGAUCCACGGCGCUUCUCUUUCUCAGGAAUUUGGGGCCGUCCGCCACUACUGCUUAAGCUCAUCCCAGCCGCCCUGCAGUCUCCAGCAGACUGCUUCUGUGUGACUCCCCCUGAGUCUUGUUUGUGGGCUCACCGCCUCCAGGGCCUGGUGGGUGCAACAGGACCCCGGGCCGUUGGUCGCGUAUCUGUCGUGCUUUCGCUCCUCCACCUUUUCCAUCCUUUCCUCCCCACGUGAGAGCCAGAGAGAGGCGUUCUGCUCCCACUGCGGGGAGGGCUCAGUGGGUGUCCCUGAUUCCUGAGAAGGAAGGCUGGCGAGCUGUCGGAGAGGGCGGCCAGCGCAGGUUCACUGAAGGUCUCCGGUGGCGUGCCACAGGGCUCUAGCCUGGAACUGGGCCUUGUCACUGACUGAGAUGAAGACAUGGAAGCCAGCUAAUCAGAGCUGCAGGAUGUGCCGACUUGCUCGGGGGUUCCCAGGAGCCGUGCCCAGGAGGACAGUGCCGGGGGUCCUGCUUGAAGCCGAGUAGUCGGGGCCCACUGGCAUCUGCUUGUGGGACUGACAACACCUCUGGGUAAGUGAUCCCCUUCAUCUGGGACCUUAGGGGGCCCUGCCAACAUAAAGUAAUCUUCUGCAAGGAGCCCGCGGGUCUUUCUGUGCUAGGAGGCACCUGCGGGAGGUCCUGAGUGCGGGGAAGGCCGCUCAGAGUGGUGAGCUAGGCCCAGGUGGGUGCAGAGCCGGCUGCAGUGGCCGGAGCCCAGGGCCAAGGCGGCCUCUGACUGUUCACAGCCGCCUCCCCUGGUGGGGCCUUGCGCACUGCCACCACCAGGACCACAGGCAGGGAAGCCAGGCUGGCGUGGUGGCCAUCUGCUCUGCUCGGGCGCUGCCCGGGGGGCUUCCCCACCCCAGCAAGAGCGGGAAAGGGCUCCAGAUGCCCUGUCACUCAGGCUGGACCCCGCAGCCUUUAGUCAGAGGUCACCUUCCCAUAGGGCCUUCCCUGGCCACCCUGUGCCGACGUCCACCCGCUACCUCCCCCCCGCCAUAUCUCCUGUUCCCUUUCUCUCAUCAGCACUGCCACCAUCCUACCUAUUACAUGGUUUACCUAUUUCUCCUGGUUACUGUGUGUCUCCCUCCAGAGAAGUAAGCACCGUGAGGACAGGGCCUUCGCCCAUCUUCUUCACAGAGGUGUCCCCAGCGCCAGACCCAGUGCCGGCAACAAGAUAGGUGCUCAAAACAUGUUUGUUGAAUGAGUGAGGGAAUGAAGGAGUGAAUAAAGGAGUGAAUGAAUAAAUGAGAGAAUGAGGGAAUGAAUGAGUGAGUGAAUGAAUGGAUGAGAGAAUGAGUGAGUGAAUGAAUGAGAAUCAGUGAGAGAAUGAGUGAAUGAGUAUAUGAAUGAGAGAAGGCAUAAAUGAGAGAAUGAGUGAGUGAGUGAAUGAAUGGAUGAGAGAAGGGAUGAACCUCCCUGGGGGCAGUGAGGGCUGGGGAGCUGGGGGUGGAGGUGGUACUCAGAGGCCGUGGUGAGUGAGGGGCUUUGAGGGGCGGCCAAGGCAGUGGAGCCAAGCCUUUGAUGAGACAGGAACCAGCUGCGACCCGAGCUCGGGCUCUGACACUUCCCAUCUGUGCACACUGGGGCGGGUGACAGCUUUUCCAGUUCCUUCUGUAAAACGGGGAUGACACAGCUGACCUCAGAGGCAUGGAGGGUGCUGGAAGGGGCCUUGGCCUCCAGAAUUUUCAUCUGGGGGCACCUGAGGCUCUCCACAGCUCAAGUGGACUGCGCUCUCCGUCUGGAGGAGCCGAGGAGCCAGAAGCGUGAGCCGGGCUUGGUAACGGGCGGCGGUGUCAGGGGCCUGGGGCCCAGGGGUGCGUGGGGGUGAGCAGAGUGGAGGCAGCAGGACCUGGAGGCCCAGAGGGACCGACGACUCAGGAAAGUCAGGUCCCGGAAGUGGAUCCGGAUGGAGACUCGCGUGUGGGGAGGUUAUGGGGACGGUCUUAGGAUUAGCACCUGGGGGGGUGGGACAGCAGGGGGCAGAGGGAGAGCUGGGGGUUGCAGCCAGGCCUUAGGCGGCCCUGUGGGACCUCCUAGCUGGGCUCAAGGGUACGGGCAGCCCCGGGAAAGGUCCGGCCUUGGGGGGGGCGUGGUGGCUCUCUUGAGCAGAGGGUAAGGGGAGAGCCCUCCUAGCUACAGGGGAAAUCCUUCAGGCCUUCGGGGAGGUCAGGCGGGGCAGCAGAGUGGCCACUGCAGCGGGUCAUUAGACCAGGGCCAAACUCAUCUGUCCUGGCUUCCCUGUGGCCGCAGGGCCCCCAGUCCCUGACCUUCGUGAUCACUGGUCCCCUUCCCAUUCUCCCCCCGCCUCUCAAGUGGGCAUCCGCAGAGCGGCCGAGGAAGAGAAGCACGGCCCGGGUUGGGGGGGAGGGAGUGGUGUGGGGCAGUUGUGAGGGGAGGGCUGGGAUGUGGAGGAUGAGAGCAAGAGAGUGAAAAAUUUUGUGCCAGUCAACAGGCGAAUUGAUGGCGGAGAGGAGAGGAGUCCAGUGCUCUGGCCUCCGGGCCCCCAGCUCUGCUGCUGCCUGCUGUGUGGCCUCAGGAAACUCUCCUUCCCCUCUGAUCUUCAGCUUCCUCACGUGCUCUGUUGGGGCUCGGGGCAGUGGGGAGCAUCGGAGGAGACGUGGAGGUGAAGGAGCCUGGGCACCUGUAGACAAGGCUGGUGGGAGGCCUCUGUGGGUUUCACCACCAUGUCUGUGUGUGUGCGUGUGCGUGUGCACGUGUGCACGCGGGAGCCAGCCCUCGCCUGGGCUGUGUUGCUGGGGUUGAACCUCAGAGCUCAGAGCUAGGAGCUCGCCUCUAGGGAGUGGAGAGCCUGCCUCCUUCCUUGGAGGGGGUGAGGGGGCUCUGGGGUGGCCCCAGGGUGGGGACUCUGGUCCCCAUCACCCCGCUGUUGAAGCGUGUGCAGGACUCGGCCUCCUAGCUGGGCUCGAGGGCACGGGCGGGUGAGUGGGUGUACUGCCUGAGAGCUUUGCAAAGCUGAGCCCAGGAAACAAAUCCCCGUGUCCCCCAAAGGGACGGCCCCAAGGUUGCACAGCCCAUCGGGGCUGGGGAAACAGCGAGUAUGAGCUGUGUCCUUAAAGUCUGCAGGAUCUCAACUAACAGUGGAAUUACCUGAUGGGGGCACGGCGAGGGAGGGUACAGUGGUGGAUUGUGGGAAGCUGGUCCAGCUGGGCUGUCAUUUCAGCCUCUCUCAGCCCCUGCCAGGCCCAGGGAGGCGGUGGGGCCGGCUUUCCAGUUGCUAAUGCUCAGGGCUGGGCUUGACAGACGGGAGGGGCUGUGUGUUCUCCCAGGAGACACCCUGCAGCCCAGGGUGCAAGGGCUGGGUGCAGCCGAGAUGGCGGGCUCAGAUACGGGUGUUUGCAGGCAGGACCAGGAGGGGGAGCCCAGCAGAACCCAGCUACAAGGCCAUUAGGAAGGAGGCUGUGCUCCCCUCUUGGGUCUCCCAGUGGCCCCCGGGAUCUCCUGGGGCCUCUUGGGAUGGAGCAGAUCCCGUCCCAGGUGCGAGGUGAGGGUCAUCCUGAUCGUGUUCACGUUUCAAGACCAGUGAAUCUGAGGCCGUUGGUUUUCAAACCUUUUUUCUUUUUUCUGCCUCAACAACCCUUGAUUCAAAUGACGUCUCACCAGGAAGGUAAAUGAGCCCCCCAGAUCAACCCCAGAGAGCUCUGCCACGGCCAGGGCUGCGGGGUAGGGUUGGAACCCCCCACCCCCACUCAAGGCCUCUGAGAUUAGUUCAGACAAGUCCAAGUUCUUGCCAUCUCCGGCACCUUCCUCUUCUCCAUCCAGCCUCUGGGCGGUUCAGAUGGGGGUCUGAGGCCUUCGGGCCUGGACCAGACAAGGCAGGAACCGAAUUCCUGCCUUUUCAGGAGAUUUUGACCCAGGAAGGACAGGCUGAAAAGUUCUGGCUGCCGCUCGGGACAACGAGCGUGGGCUUCGGGGCCAGACCGCCUAUGUCCAGGUCCCAGCUCUGCCCUGGCCUUGCUGGGUGAUGCCAGGCGGGUUCCUACGCUUUGCAUGCCUCAGUUUCCCCAGCCAUGAAGUGAGCAUGAGGCAGGACUCUGAGAACUCUACUCAAAAGGCAAUGUCGACACCCCGCCCAGUCUGUCACCUUAUGGAAUGUUCUGGAACUCCUGUGAAGAGCAAGAGUCCACAUGGGCCAAGACUUUAGAAGUAGGCUUGUUGGGUGGUAAGAGGUUGGGAAACAUCCCCUGCGACUAAGAGUUUGGAUGGCCUCCUGGGACAGACUCCGUCAUCUGACAGAGGCUGCCUGGGGGUCAGGAGAGGAGCCCACAGCUGGAAGCAUCUAAGUCCUGCCUCUGGCCCUCCCACCGGCGUGGCCUGCAGCAAGCUGCUUGACCCUCUGAUCGCACCUCCAGAAGACAGAGGGAGGCACGAGGAUGAAAUGAGAUGACGCGCCAGUCCAGUGGGCCGGUCUUGGUCUGUGUCACUGGACUUCUCAUCAGCGUUUGACGCAAUGGACCUGCCUUCUCCCAGAAGCGCGUUCCCCGCUCGGCCUGUGUCCCCGCGCUCUCCUCCCACGCUGGCUGCUCCUCAGUGGCUCCUGUGCGGUCAGGAUGGGCAGGCGCUCCUGGAGGCCUGGUGUGGUCCAGGUGGACAGCCUGUUCCUGCAGCUCCUCCCGGGCAGUGCGUGUGGGCAGAUUGUCCUCUCAGUUUCUCAGCUGUGGAUGCAUCUUUCCUUUGGCCGGUCCUCUGAGGUCAGCAUCUGGUACUUGUUGUCUCUUUAGUUCAGCUCUGAUGUUCCUUCCAUCAAGCAGCUCUCUGGGUUGGAUUCCUAAUCAACGUUUGAUGAAAGUUUAUUAAAUGACUAACCAGAGAAGGGGAGUGGGGUCAGAUCACUCCUAGGACAUUUACUGGCUACGUGGACUUCCAUUCUGUGGGAAUGACUGGAAACGGCGCCGGGAACCAGUGUUGUGGGCUCAGUCCCGGUACAAGAACACGAGCAGCUGUAACAUGCUGUGUGAUAAACACUUUUACGUGAUUCGUUUGGUCCUCUGAACUGGUGAUAUUCAUCUAUUUCGCAGGUGAAGAUUCUGAAGCACAGAGAUAUAGACCAUUUUGCUCAUACACCCCCAACCCCGGAGAUAGACUUAAAGAACCAGACCAAUGAUUAGGGAGUAGAUACUUGUGGCAGAGGAUAAAGAAGAUUAGACACGGUCGAUCCUCAUUAUUUGUGGAUUCCAUAUUUGCAAAUUCACCUACUCGCUAAAAUUUACUUGUAAUCCCAAAGUCAACACUGCUGAUGCUUUUGCUGUCAAUCAUGGACGUUUGCAGAGCAGUGACACGUCUUAUUUGCCUGAUCCGCAUGACCCCAGCUGAGGUGGAACAAGGCCGUGCUCUGCCUUCGUGUUUCAGCUCUCAUCCAGAGGCGCCCGGAGGAGUCAGACGGCAGGUGCAGUGCAGUGUGAUCGAGAAGCUUCAGCUGUGGGACCAAGUGGCUGGGGUUUGAAUCCCAACUCUGGCACCUGUUUGGGGCGAGGCCCCAGGCAAGUCACUUAACACUUUGAACUUUAUCUUUUUUAAAAUAAAGAAAAUAGAAUAUACCAGGAUGAGUUGUUCUUAAGAUUUAAGAUUAUGAUCUAUGUGAGAGACGUGUGUGUGUGUGUGUAUGCAUGCACGAGCUUAGAUAUAUUUUUCCUAGGAGCAAUGUUUCAGUAUUCAUUCAGUCUUUGUGGCAACUUUAUAGAGCUUAAAUUCUAUGAAAAAUGAAAAUUGACUGUACUAUUCUCACAUUUACCCAAGAAAGAAGACAAAGGAAUUUUGGAAAGAGAUGUUAAGAGACAGGGAGCAAGAGCAGCUUGGAGCUAGGACAUCAGUAGACACUGUUGGUUUGUGCCACUGGAAACUCUCAGGUGAGCAGCUUUCAUGCUCAAACAGCCCUCGCAAACUUCCAAGGAAAAUGAGCAGCUCACGGUCAAAAAUCGCAAAAAUUAUGGAGAAUAAAAGCACCAUAAGUGAGA
rnacentral:lncRNA from 1 species